CCGGUGGCUCAGUGGUAAAGAACCUGCCUGCAAUGCAGGAGAAUGCAGGUUCGAGCCCUGGUUUGG
rnacentral:tRNA from 1 species